rnacentral:rRNA from 1 species
GACGAACGCUGGCGGCGUGCUUAACACAUGCAAGUCGAACGGAAAGGCCCUGCUUUUGUGGGGUGCUCGAGUGGCGAACGGGUGAGUAACACGUGAGUAACCUGCCCUUGACUUUGGGAUAACUUCAGGAAACUGGGGCUAAUACCGGAUAGGAGCUCCUGCUGCAUGGUGGGGGUUGGAAAGUUUCGGCGGUUGGGGAUGGACUCGCGGCUUAUCAGCUUGUUGGUUGGGUAGUGGCUUACCAAGGCAUUGACGGAUAGCCGGCCUGAGAGGGUGAACGGCGUCAUUGGGACUGAGAGACGGCCCAGACGCCUACGGGAGGCAGCAGUGGGGAAUAUUGCACAAUGGGCGGAAGCCUGAUGCAGCAACGCCGCGUGCGGGAAGACGGCCUUCGGGUUGUAAACCGCUUUCGCCUGUGACGAAGCGUGAGUGACGGUAAUGGGUAAAGAAGCACCGGCUAACUACGUG